CCAUAGUGUUAAUUUUACAAUACCUGACUUAACGAAACUUAUCGUUUGCGUGUCCUACGGCAUGCACGAUGUGUAGUUUAACAGCUGCUCGAUGUGUAUACUGCGAUGGCGUCGUUGACUGCUUCCUCGCGUAUUGUUGCUCGCGUUCUAUCGUUCUUAACACUUUCCUCGUGUUGUUCGUUGUGGAAGUGCUGCUGCUGCUGCGAUUAUGGGAUUGUUCAGUUCGGUUUCACUUAGCGCACUUAGUUUCACACUUUCUUGUGCACUAUUCUGAUUAGUAUUCCGGUUCGGUAUUUAUGUGUCACUGCAUGUGUAAUUGUUGUUGCUUUUAAUUCACAUUUGAUUUCAUUUUUAGCACUGUAUUGGUGAUGUUUCGGGAUAUUCAUGCAGUUUCGGUCUAAUAGUGUCGGGUGUCGAACCUAUGCUACAGCCGUGCCAGAAGCGUAAAGUGUCAACGGCCCGCAAACGCUGAGCACAAUCCGCGCAAGCCCAGAAUAAAUUUUGUGACUUCUUAAAAUCACGCAGGAGCGGGGUUGGAAGUCCAAUGCACUUAUCGUGAUCACGGACGCCAUCGCAAAAUAGCGCAAAGUUCAACUGCACAGUG